rnacentral:tRNA from 1 species
GCAGAGGUGGCGGAACAGGCAGACGCGCACGUUUGAGGGGCGUGUGGGAUGACCGUGGGGGUUCGAAUCCCCUCCUCUGCA